rnacentral:rRNA from 1 species
CCCUUAGAUGUUCUGGGCCGCACGCGCGCUACACUGAUGAAUGCAACGAGCUCUACCCUUGACCGAAAGGCCCGGGUAAACUUGUGAAACUUCGUCGUGAUGGGGAUAGAUUAUUGCAAUUAUUAAUCUUCAACGAGGAAUUCCUAGUAAGCGCGAGUCAUCAGCUCGCGUUGAUUACGUCCCUGCCCUUUGUACACACCGCCCGUCGCUCCUACCGAUUGGGUGUGCUGGUGAAAUGCUCGGAUCGGCCGUUUGUCGCGGUUUCCGCGUCAUGUGGCUGAGAAGUUCAUUAAACCCUCCCACCUAGAGGAAGGAGAAGUCGUAACA